UCUUUAUUGAAACUUGUUAAACUGUGUUCCUCUCUCAUCAAAUCUUCUCGUUGUUCUUUAUAAACCCACGCUUGCAAGCUAUACCAGUCUACCAGACAUAUACACCGGUGUUUACCCUACACCUCAAAGAAACAAACACCUAUUAAUCUAGUUUUCCUCAUGCCUUGCAAAAUCGCUGCCAACUUCAUGUUCGUCUUGUUGUUGGUAAGCGCCGUGUCCUCGGAUAUGGGGGACGAAAAACGAUGCUGCGAGUCAUACCCCGCGCCCAAGGAUCUGAGCUGCCGUGACCUUCGAGCUUGCGACAAACAAUGCAAAGAUGCUGGCUACAACGGCAGCUUCUGCCCGGUUGACUACCCGACCUGCUAUUGCCUCAGAUGCACCGGCAAUCAAACGAGCGCUGCAGGUCGCGUUUUGUCGCCCCAUAAAGAGCGAAAUUAGCCAACUCAUGUAAUGUUGACUCGUCGCAGCAGCUGCGCACAUAAGUAACUGCUUUGCCUAAUA